CGACGCUGGCAGCGGCCUAACACAUGCAAGUCGAACGGUAGCACAGAGAGCUUGCUCUCGGGUGACGAGUGGCGGACGGGUGAGUAAUGUCUGGGAAACUGCCUGGAUGGAUGGGGAUAACUACUGGAAACGGUAGCUAAUACCGCAUAACGUCGCAAGACCAAAGAGGGGGACCUUCGGGCCUCUUGCCAUCAGAUGUGCCCAGAUGGGAUUAC
rnacentral:rRNA from 1 species